rnacentral:rRNA from 1 species
AUACGUAGGUGGCGAGCGUUAUUCGGAUUUAUUGGGCGUAAAGGGUUCGUAGGGGGUUUGUUAAGUUUGAUGUGAAAGCCCACGGCUCAACCGUGGAACUGCAUUGGAAACUGACAGACUAGAGCAUAGGAGAGGAGAGUGGAAUUCCCAGUGUAGCGGUGAAAUGCGUAGAUAUCGGGAGGAACAUCAGUGGCGAAGGCGACUUUCUGGAUCAAUACUGACGCUGAGGUACGAAAGCGUGGGGAGCAAACAGGAUUAGAAACCCCGGUAGUCC